UACGAAGGGGGGCUAGCGUUGCUCGGAAUCACUGGGCGUAAAGGGUGCGUAGGCGGGUCUUUAAGUCAGGGGUGAAAUCCUGGAGCUCAACUCCAGAACUGCCUUUGAUACUGAGGAUCUUGAGUACGGGAGAGGUGAGUGGAACUGCGAGUGUAGAGGUGAAAUUCGUAGAUAUUGGCAAGAACACCAGUGGCGAAGGCGGCUCACUGGCCCGUAACUGACGCCGAGGCACGAAAGCGUGGGGAGCAAACAGG
rnacentral:rRNA from 1 species